rnacentral:ncRNA from 1 species
UGCUCAGGCGGGCCCCGCGCUCUUCCAAAGAAACGUGGGAGAGAAAGAAACCCACCAAGCCCCACCUUCCCUCCCGUCCGCCGGAGCGGCGACGACAGCCGCUUCCGCGCAAACUCACUCGCCCGAGUGAACAUCACCAACUCAGGUGGAUAUGUGCCUGGUUGCCUGCCUUACGCUCAGCGCAGCAGCACCACCACAGACCACCAAAGACAACCGCUGACGGCGGACAUACGACGGCCCUCGCCGGGACUGGCAUCCCACUGCGAGGGCCUGACCACCAAGGAAGCAGACCUUCCCG